CCCUCUGUUCUCCUUCUGCAGGGAAAAUUGCUGCCCGAUUUAAACAGGCCUCCCUCAGCCAAUCCCAGGUCAGGGCUCUUCCUGAGCUUUUGCUAAUGUUCCUCAUUCAAAUCCUGCCGGGGUUAGAUCUCUCCUCCCACUUCCAAGAGGGCUACUUCUAGAGCAGCUUCGCUCCACCUGAGGGACAAACUCUGUCUCUUCACACUGUCCUUCUGCAAGGCAGCCCUUCCUAUCCCUUCAGGUCUUACUCAGGCCUCUGUAGACAUCCGUUUGUCAUCUAUAUUGCAUCAUUUUGAAAGUCCAGACCUGUCUCAAGACACUAACACAGUGCAUGUUGAAAGCAAUAAAGACUCCAGUCACUUAUACCAGUUUCCUUGUCAAGGUGAACUCUUGAACCUCAGAAAUGAAACCAAAGCUCCUGUGCUUCUUAAGUUCCCAGAAGUCAGUCCCAGAACAAUACUGAUCACAUUCAGAUCCAUGGUGCACAGUUUUAAAGGAAAUAAAGGGGGAUGAAAAUCUGCAAUGACAGUUGUGGACCCUGCACCUCGCUCCGCCUGGCCUAUCGGGGUGUUGCCCCUCCCCUCAACUCGCCUGCCACGACUUGGAUGUACUCAAUUACCUUCAGAGGGGUCUCCAGUGGAGAUCUUUAUCCUGGGUGGGGCCUCCCGAUAGACGGUGUUACUCACGGUUAUCGGACGCGGUGAUCCACGGGGCUCUGCCUCCCCUACACCCCAUCCACACGCCAACCGCUGGGCGAUGUCUUCCAGAUGUUGCCAGGCCCAGUAUGAUGGCCUCUGACUGGUUCCCCGGUUCCCGGUCGUCCUCCCUCCUGCUGGGAGGGGUUUCUCCUUUCUCCUCCCUUAUAGAUAAUACUCCUCCGAACCAGGGGGAGCUGGUGGGUGCUUCCCCUGGUUCCAGCCCCCUCCUGGGGCCUCCGCUGCCUCCCCUUUCCUCCCAUCCACAGGGCGCUCCCCUGCCUCCUGGGCAUCUGCCACUUCAGGACGCAGAGAGAGUGCCUCGGCUUGCACUCUCUGACUGCCUCUCGCUUGGCUGCUUGCGAAAGGCUUCCAGCUCUUGCCUACACUGCCUGCUUGAGACCCGCAGGCGGGGUCCUCUCCGCUCCGUGCGAGAGCCUGCAGCACGGGCAGCACACCCGUACUCUCUCUCCCUGGCUCUCCUCCCUUCCCUGUCCUGCCGGUGUUUUUAAAUCUUCCCGCAGCGGCCGCUCCGGCCGCUGGGAUUGGCUCAGCUGUUCGCUGCGUGGGGAACAGCUGUUGCCAGAGCCGGCAUAAUGGCGGCUCGCGCGGCUACAGCCGCGGAUGCGGCUCUUCCUCCCGCUGCCCCUCUGCCGGUACAUAUGCCCUUCUGGGGGCUUGCUCUCGGGGUCUGGGGUCUGUGGGCCCCCUCUUCUCUCCCUCACUCGUCUGUGGGGGCACUUCGCCGCCACAACAGUGAUUAAUAAGGAAUUCUAGAGAGGUGUAUUUUCCCUCUGUUACUAUCCAAAGGUAGAAAUGAUUGCAGUUUUCUGUAAAAGCAAACUUUACUUUUUAUGUAUUGUCUCUUUUACUCAAAAAAGCUUGUCAUUUAAAUCAGAAUAAUUAAA